rnacentral:rRNA from 1 species
GUCCACGCCUUAAAACGAUGAGAGCUAGUUGUCAGUAAGCAUGCUUAUUGGUGACGCAGCUAACGCAUUAAGCUCUCCGCCUGGGGAGUACGGCCGCAAGGUUAAAACUCAAAGAAAUUGACGGGGGCCCCGCACAAGCGGUGGAGCAUGUGGUUUAAUUCGAAAGCAACGCGAAGAACCUUACCCACUUUUGACAUCCUGUGGUUACCUGGAGAGAUCCAGGGUCCCUUCGGGGCGCAGAGACAGGUGCUGCAUGGCUGUCGU